GAGACGAAACGUUCCCGUAGGAAUGGCUGUAAAAGCUUGUUGCAAGCCGCGUCCUUUUCCUGGAGAAAGAACGUUCCUGACAGAGGGAACAGCACUCACAAAAGUCAAGAGUCUCCUCCUCCAGCCCUGCGGACCCGGGCCUGGUCCUUCUCCUGGAGGCACGUGCGCAGAACCCAGCAGUGGCCACCGGGACCCUGAUGGCUGUGGACCAGGAUGCCUUCAACGGCAAGGAAAAGAAAACCCCAGUCAGAUGGUCACGAACACUAGACAGAAGAAACCUACGGGUCGGACGACCUCCCGCUGCUGUCCGUUAAUACAGUGAAGCCUUGGAUUGCGAGUAAGCGUCGCCCACGAGUGUUCCGCAAGACCAGCAAACGUUUCUAAUAAAUUUUACCUCGAUAAAUG